AGAUUCUGCACAUCUUCUGAAUCAGACUUUUCCCUGACUAUACAGUGACAGCACAGGAUGAAUUCAGCAGCAGGAAUCAGCAGGUGGAGAAGAAGCUGCUGCACAGAGACAGAACGGUUUCCAGCCGCAUGGCGCCUUCCUGAUGUUUAGCCUGAGGGUGUGACAGACAGGAAGUGAUGUUAUCACAGCGUUUGAUCAGCAGCAUCACAGGAACAUGAGUAUCAGAGAGCAGCUCAGAGGUUUCACCGUGCCGCUGCUGGAUUACAUGGCGGUAAAUGGGCUCGGGAACAUCUGUACAUGGAAGGUGGCAUGACACGGAGCUGAUCACCACACCUGCCAUUCAUCAAACCAGCUGCAUUUAAACCCCAGUUCAACUCCUCCACCUUCAC